AAAUUGAAGAGUUUGAUCAUGGCUCAGAUUGAACGCUGGCGGCAGGCCUAACACAUGCAAGUCGAACGGUAACAGGAAGCAGCUUGCUGCUUUGCUGACGAGUGGCGGACGGGUGAGUAAUGUCUGGGAAACUGCCUGAUGGAGGGGGAUAACUACUGGAAACGGUAGCUAAUACCGCAUAACGUCGCAAGACCAAAGAGGGGGACCUUCGGGCCUCUUGUCAUCGGAUGUGCCCAGAUGGGAUUAGCUAGUA
rnacentral:rRNA from 1 species